AUGAUGUGUUGCCUCCUUGCCUUGACAGUUGGGAAACAUGGAUUCAACCAGGAGAGUCCUCAUGGACGAAUGGACGAAAGGAGAGCAAAUGAAUUCCAAUCAGGAGACCUGCCCAGUGCCUGGAUGAGAUUUAAAGAACAUGUGUACAGUAAGCCAACGCUUCAUGUGAUCCCACUAUCCACUGGAGAGACACAGAGAGCCAAGGACCAUGGCUGUGACACCAGUCACUGAAUUAACUCUUCAGGUGAAGUUAAUUCCAUGAACAGCUGCCCCGGGUUGACCAAGCCGAAGUGUUCUUCAGAAAGUCAGCUUGUGCCAUAUCACGUUUGUUCCUGAACAAGGUGAUUUGCUGUAAUGCUGCCAAUUGCCUAGCAAUCAACCGCCAGCUCUGGAAAUAAACCCUGCUACUGUUUAGAGAGCA
rnacentral:lncRNA from 12 species